GCCGAGGCGUGAUGACGAGGCACUACGGUGCUGAAGCAACAAAUGCCCUGCUUCCAGGAAAAGCCUCUAAGCAUCAGGUAACAUCAAAUCGUACCCCAAACCGACACAGGUGGUCAGGUAGAGAAUACCAAGGCGCUUGAGAGAACUCGGGUGAAGGAACUAGGCAAAAUGGUGCCGUAACUUCGGGAGAAGGCACGCUGAUACGUAGGUGAAGCGACUUGCUCGUGGAGCUGAAAUCAGUCGAAGAUACCAGCUGGCUGCAACUGUUUAUUAAAAACACAGCACUGUGCA
rnacentral:rRNA from 1 species